rnacentral:misc_RNA from 1 species
GUACAUUAGUGCUUGCGCACGACAAUAGUUCUCAUUACAUUCGAGUGUGUUAUAAAAAUCCUCUGCCAGCCGAAGCUAGCAAGAGGCCAAAGGUUCACAUGGGUAUUGGAUGAAAGCCACCAACGUGCACUUGCUCUGGAGAGCCAGCACCGAAGGCAACGAUUCACAAUCACUAAUGAUCCUUCCGCAGGUUCACCUACGGAAA